UUCCAGACUCCUACGGGAGGCAGCAGUGGGGGAUAUUGCACAAUGGGGGGAACCCUGAUGCAGCGACGCCGCGUGGGUGAAGGAGCGUUUCGGCGCGUAAAGCCCUAUCGGCAGGGAAGAAGGAGGACGGUACCUGACUAAGAAGCCCCGGCUAACUACGUGCCAGCAGCCGCGGGAAUACGUAGGGGGCAAGCGUUAUCCGGAUUUACUGGGUGUAAAGGGAGCGUAGACGGCUGUGCAAGCCAGAUGUGAAAGCCCGGGGCUCAACCCCGGGACUGCAUUUGGAACUGUGUGGCUGGAGUGUCGGAGAGGCAGGCGGAAUUCCUAGUGUAGCGGUGAAAUGCGUAGAUAUUAGGAGGAACACCAGUGGCGAAGGCGGCCUGCUGGACUGCAACUGACGUUGAGGCCCGAAAGCGUGGGGAGCAAACAGGAUUAGAUACCCUAGA
rnacentral:rRNA from 1 species